rnacentral:rRNA from 1 species
GAUGAACGCUGGCGGCGUGCCUAAUACAUGCAAGUCGAGCGAACGGACGAGAAGCUUGCUUCUCUGAUGUUAGCGGCGGACGGGUGAGUAACACGUGGAUAACCUACCUAUAAGACUGGGAUAACUUCGGGAAACCGUAGCUAAUACCGGAUAAUAUUUUGAACCGCAUGGUUCAAAAGUGAAAGACGGUCUUGCUGUCACUUAUAGAUGGAUCCGCGCUGCAUUAGCUAGUUGGUAAGGUAACGGCUUACCAAGGCAACGAUGCAUAGCCGACCUGAGAGGGUGAUCGGCCACACUGGAACGGAGACACGGUCCAGACUCCUACGGGAGGCAGCAGUAGGGAAUCUUCCGCAAUGGGCGAAAGCCUGACGGAGCAACGCCGCGUGAGUGAUGAAGGUCUUCGGAUCGUAAAACUCUGUUAUGAGGGAAGAACAUAUGUGUAAGUAACUGUGCACAUCUUGACGGUACCUAAUCAGAAAGCCACGGCUAACUACGUG